rnacentral:rRNA from 1 species
UACGUAGGGUGCAAGCGUUAAUCGGAAUUACUGGGCGUAAAGCGUGCGCAGGCGGUUAUAUAAGACAGAUGUGAAAUCCCCGGGCUCAACCUGGGAACUGCAUUUGUGACUGUAUAGCUAGAGUACGGCAGAGGGGGAUGGAAUUCCGCGUGUAGCAGUGAAAUGCAUAGAUAUGCGGAGGAACACCGAUGGCGAAGGCAAUCCCCUGGGCCUGUACUGACGCUCAUGCACGAAAGCGUGGGGAGCAAACAGG